rnacentral:rRNA from 1 species
AGCUUAAAGAAAUAAAUUUUAAGUUUAACCUGCCCAGUGAUUUUUUAACGGCUGCGGUACCUUGACCGUACUAAGGUAGCAUAAUCAAUUGGCUUUUAAUUGGAGUCUGGAAUGAAUGGGAAAAUUGGAGUUUAACUUUCUUAAAUGAAUUUUAUUGAAAUUACUGUAAAAGUGAAAAAGCUUUUAUUAUGAAAAAAGACGAGAAGACCCUUGGAGUUUAAUAUUUUUGUUGGGGCGACAUAAAAAAAUUGAACUUUUUAAAAAUUAAUAAUCAACUUUUAGUUUUAUUUUAUAAACUACCCAAGGGAUAACAGCAUAAUUCUUUUAGAGAUUGUGACCUCGAUGUUGGACUAGGAAAGAUAAUUACUAGUAGUUAUUAUCUUAUGUUCUGUUCGAACAUUUAUUCUCCU